rnacentral:rRNA from 1 species
CCUACGGGAGGCAGCAGUGGGGGAUAUUGCACAAUGGGGGGAACCCUGAUGCAGCGACGCCGCGUGGGUGAAGAAGCGCCUCGGCGCGUAAAGCCCUGUCAGCAGGGAAGAAAAAGACGGUACCUGAAGGAGAAGCCCCGGCUAACUACGGGCCAGCAGCCGAGGUAAUACGUAGGGGGCAAGCGUUAUCCGGAUUUACUGGGGGUAAAGGGGUCGCAGACGGCGAUGCAAGCCAGUAGUGAAAGCCCGGGGCACAACCCCGGGACUGCUCUUGGAACUGAGUGGCUGGAGUGCAGGAGGGGCAGGCGGAAUUCCUGGUGUAGCGGUGAAAUGCGUAGAUAUCAGGAGGAACACCGGUGGCGAAGGCGGCCUGCUGGUCUGCAACUGACGUUGAGGCCCGAAAGCGUGGGGAGCAAACAGGAUUAGAUACCCUUGUAGUC